rnacentral:rRNA from 1 species
CGCCGGAAGACCGAAGGUUCCUGUCCAACGUUAAUCGGGGCAGGGUGAGUCGACCCCUAAGGCGAGGCCGAAAGGCGUAGUCGAUGGGAAACAGGUUAAUAUUCCUGUACUUGGUGUUACUGCGAAGGGGGGACGGAGAAGGCUAUGUUGGCCGGGCGACGGUUGUCCCGGUUUAAGCGUGUAGGCUGAUUUUCCAGGCAAAUCCGGAAAAUCAAGGCUGAGGCGUGAUGACGAGGCACUACGGUGCUGAAGCGACAAAUGCCCUGCUUCCAGGAAAAGCCUCUAAGCAUCAGGUAACAUCAAAUCGUACCCCAAACCGACACAGGUGGUCAGGUAGAGAAUACCAAGGCGCUUGAGAGAACUCGGGUGAAGGAACUAGGCAAAAUGGUGCCGUAACUUCGGGAGAAGGCACGCUGAUAUGUAGGUGAAGCGACUUGCUCGUGGAGCUGAAAUCAGUCGAAGAUACCAGCUGGCUGCAACUGUUUAUUAAAAACACAGCACUGUGCAAACACGAAAGUGGACGUAUACGGUGUGACGCCUGCCCGGUGCCGGAAGGUUAAUUGAUGGGGUUAGCGCAAGCGAAGCUCUUGAUCGAAGCCCCGGUAAACGGCGGCCGUAACUAUAACGGUCCUAAGGUAGCGAAAUUCCUUGUCGGGUAAGUUCCGACCUGCACGAAUGGCGUAAUGAUGGCCAGGCUGUCUCCACCCGAGACUCAGUGAAAUUGAACUCGCUGUGAAGAUGCAGUGUACCCGCGGCAAGACGGAAAGACCCCGUGAACCUUUACUAUAGCUUGACACUGAACAUUGAGCCUUGAUGUGUAGGAUAGGUGGGAGGCUUUGAAGUGUGGACGCCAGUCUGCAUGGAGCCGACCUUGAAAUACCACCCUUUAAUGUUUGAUGUUCUAACGUGGACCCGUAAUCCGGGUUGCGGACAGUGUCUGGUGGGUAGUUUGACUGGGGCGGUCUCCUCCUAAAGAGUAACGGAGGAGCACGAAGGUUGGCUAAUCCUGGUCGGACAUCAGGAGGUUAGUGCAAUGGCAUAAGCCAGCUUGACUGCGAGCGUGACGGCGCGAGCAGGUGCGAAAGCAGGUCAUAGUGAUCCGGUGGUUCUGAAUGGAAGGGCCAUCGCUCAACGGAUAAAAGGUACUCCGGGGAUAACAGGCUGAUACCGCCCAAGAGUUCAUAUCGACGGCGGUGUUUGGCACCUCGAUGUCGGCUCAUCACAUCCUGGGGCUGAAGUAGGUCCCAAGGGUAUGGCUGUUCGCCAUUUAAAGUGGUACGCGAGCUGGGUUUAGAACGUCGUGAGACAGUUCGGUCCCUAUCUGCCGUGGGCGCUGGAGAACUGAGGGGGGCUGCUCCUAGUACGAGAGGACCGGAGUGGACGCAUCACUGGUGUUCGGGUUGUCAUGCCAAUGGCACUGCCCGGUAGCUAAAUGCGGAAGAGAUAAGUGCUGAAAGCAUCUAAGCACGAAACUUGCCCCGAGAUGAGUUCUCCCUGAGACUUUAAGUCUCCUGAAGGAACGUUGAAGACGACGACGUUGAUAGGCCGGGUGUGUAAGCGCAGCGAUGCGUUGAGCUAACCGGUACUAAUGAACCGUGAGGCUUAACCUUACAACGCCAAAG